CAAACAAAAAUGUUGCAAGAUGAAGGCUAACCACUCUUUCACAGAAGCUCAUCGUGCUCUUUGCACCAGCCCUGUGGCAGCACAGAGAACUGCUAAUCCCUCCCGGGCACCGGAGAGGACCCCAGCGAGGCAGAUGUGAGCAGGAACAGCUGCAUUAGCUGCCCUUGGACAAUCUCUAGCUGGACUUCAUUGAAAGGGUGUUAAAUGUGACAGCAAGACCUCUCUGAGAGAUUUUUUUAGAAAAUAACAAUUUCUGCAGCAAUAGGCAACUGCUUGAGCUUCUGACCAUGCAAACUGGGGAAGAACCGAGAGGGACUUCCCCCAAAACUCUAGUAAAGUCCAUGUAACUGGCAGUCACUUAAAUACAUUGUCUUAAGAUGACUGGGAACAACAAUUACAAGGGCUCUUGAUGAAAAGGUAAUUUACUUCAAUUUUAAAAUCUCUGUUAAGUCUGGACACUGAACCUCCAUUAGAAAAGCUUCGAUGUCUGACAAGCAUAUGAAAAUUCUACUGUCAAUGUGGAUACAUUGAGAAAGUCCUUUUGUGAAUAAUUUCAAUUGAAUGGGAAAAAUCAAUUUCAGAUGGAAAUUCUUUACCAUAUUGUUCUAUAGUAAAUCUAUACCAUUUGCUAUGGAUCCUUAAAGCCACACUGGAAGUAAUCUUGAAAUCACAGAAAAAAUAGCAUUAAGAGAUUAGACAACUAGAGGGUAGACAGCAUCCCAUUAAAACAGUGUUUUCAGGUUUGUAAGGUGGCGAGUAGGCUGGGUAAAUCACUGAGGAGAAUGCACUGCAUAAAAACAAGUUGUUAUUACGUGAGGGUGUUGCUGUCACAGUAUAAAAGAUGGUUGAGUAAACAGAUCGAAUAGCAAAAGCAGGAAGCUAACAACAGCGCCAAGGAGAUUAAAGAAACAACAACUGGUAUUCUACUGAAAGAGAUUGCAAAAUUUGGAGAUGAGAAUGCAAAUGAGGUGAAAUCCAUCUGAGUGUUACAGAAGUGUUUCCUAAUGUGUCUUCUGGCAAAAACUUAAUUUAAAAAAUCAAAACCACCAGUGUGCACCACUUUUGAAUGAAACAGAAGAGAAGCAAAGGAAACGUAAGAAAGACUCAUUAUUUCCAGCACUCAUCAGACUCUCCAGAGCCUUGGGUUGUCCUCCAUCUGUGUUGGGAGGCUGAAGUCAAGCACCUUCUAUAGUAGCCCCUGCUCUGUGCGAAUAUGGGACUCUUUCCUUGUAUUUGGUCAACGAGAUGAGUUCAGGAUGUAUUACUCUAAUAUGGAAUAAUUCAUGAUAUUAGUUGCACCAAAGGUUUUACAACAAUAUGUGGGUGCAUGAAAUGAAAUGUGGCACAUGACAGCACCUCAGGAGGAAGUCUUGCAAUGAUCUGCACUCCACACCAUGAGCUGAAACAUAAAUAAGCUCAGGAUGUCAGCAGCCAGAAGAGGACAACCAGAGGGUGUUACCACAGAAAAACUCUUUGUCGUGAAGUGUAUGUACAGCAUAUGGAGCAGAUGCUGCUUACUAUAUUUUAGCAGUUUUUAGUAUUUACCAAGUGACUGAACAGUUUAACACUCUUCAAGUGUUCCUCUGCUGUUCAGAAUCAGCUGCCUAAAGCUCAUAUAAUUAAUGAUCCAUUUCUCACUGAUGAUGAUUUGACAUUUAUAGUAUUUACAGCAUUUAUUGCAUGCUCCUGCUAACAGAGACAGAUUUCCAUAUGUGCUAUAGGACAUGAGCCCAGCUUAAAUGCCAUCGUUUCCUCAAGGAAGAUUUGAAGUUGGAUGUUGCCAGUUAUAAACAGAGAUGUGAUAUUGCAGGAAUAUUUUCCAGCAUUUGCAUUGCAUACCUCUACCAGGAAGCACCUUCUUUGGAUUGCUACAGAGUGAGUCAAAAUGCGUGACUGCAGUCAUAGCAAAUUCAUCUAAAGCUAUGGGCAGACUGCCAGAGAAGCUCAAAGCACAGUUUUGGGGCAAACUGUACCAUGGUAGGUGUUGUGUUUGAAAGGCUAAGAAAUAAACAGACUGUGUGCCAAAGAAGAGGAAACACUCAGCUCCAAGCAGCCUCAAGUACAGAAACAUCCCAUGGUACAGAGAUUAAUCCUGGCAGUGCUGCCUCAGGCUUAAAAGGUACUCAAGGCAGCCUGAGCCAGUGCCUGAAGUGCCACCCCAGGAUGUACAAGACUGGGGAUGAAAAUGCAGUCUGCUUCUGACUAGUUAAAGUAUUUCUUACAGCUGGUAUCAACUGCAGCCAAUCAUAUUACAAAACACCCAAGCCCAGCUGGAAAUCAGGUGAAGGCAUUGUGCUUUGGCAUUUCAGAAAAAAAAAAA